rnacentral:rRNA from 1 species
ACAACGGAUCUCUUGGUUCUGGCAUCGAUGAAGAACGCAGCGAAAUGCGAUAAGUAAUGUGAAUUGCAGAAUUCAGUGAAUCAUCGAAUCUUUGAACGCACAUUGCGCCCGUCAGUAUUCUGGCGGGCAUGCCUGUUCGAGCGUCAUUACGCCCCUCA